rnacentral:sRNA from 1 species
CUAAACAAUAUUUUGUUGGUUGUAGCUUCUUUUGGGAGUAAAUGGGUAUAAGUGUUGUCUAAACACUCCUAAUCCAUCUCUAACUCUUAUAAUUAGUCAAAUGCAUUGGAUUGUGUUACAUUUUGACCAUAGAAACACUAAAAAAUCUAUUGACUGCUUCGAAGCAAGUUUUGUUAGUUUGACACUCUUUUGGGAGAAAAUGGGUAUAAGUGUUGUCUAAACUAUCCUAAUCCAUCUCUAACUCUUAUAAUUAGUCAAUUGCAUUGGAUUGUGACACAUAUUGACCAUAAAAAUACUAACAAAGCUAUUUAGUGCUUCUAAGCAAUGUUUUGUUGGUUUUAUCUUCUUUUAAAAGAUAAUGGAUAUAACUGUUGUCUAAACACUCCUAAUCCAUCUCUAACUCUUAUAUUUACUCAAAUGCAUUAGAUUGUGAUACAUUUUGAUUAUAGAAACACUAGAAAAA